AGUAACGCGUGGGUAACCUGCCCUUUUGUGGGGAACAACUUCGAGAAAUCGGAGCUAAUACCGCAUAAUAAUAGAGGAUCGCAUGAUUCUUUAAGGAAAGAUGGCCUCUGAAGAUGCUAUCGCAAAAGGAUGGACCCGCGUCUGAUUAGCUAGUUGGAAGGGUAACGGCCUACCAAGGCAACGAUCAGUAGCCGGCCUGAGAGGGUGAACGGCCACAUUGGGACUGAGACACGGCCCAAACUCCUACGGAAGGCAGCAG
rnacentral:rRNA from 1 species